CAUUGGCAAAGUUAAUAAAGAACAGCUUCUGCCAAUCUCAGGCAAUUCUAAAAAAAUAAUCACUUUGCAAGACUUUAAUAAAUUAAGGGAUAUGAAUGUGAAAAAUAGAAUGGUUCGUCAAAUCUGCCAGAGCUGUGAGAAAACCAGUUGCUUUGUGGAUGUAGUGGUUGGGUUCAACAUUUCUACUCACCAUCAGGGGCAGCCUUUGUUCCAUGGCCACCCUCGCUUGGAAUCGUACCUGCCAUUCAUCUUACAGGACAUCACCUCCAUCAGGGGAGUGAGCUGUGGGGCAGGUGCAGAGGCACAGGUGAGCCUGGCCUUCAAGGUGAACAGUGAUCGAGAGUUCCCUGCCAAGUUCCAAAUCUACCAGAGAUCACUGUUUGACAGCUUGCUGCAAGUCACUGUCAGCGGCCCAACCCAUCUGAACGUACAGUUCUUGGAGUCAAUGUGGGAUACAUUUGAAGAUAAAUCUGCAUCUCGGGGACAGGUAUCCUUGUCACAGUCUGUCUCCCACUCCUUAUUCUUUCACUUGUUCCUCCUCCCCGCUUUUGUCUUUACAUCAUCCCAUUUUUUGCUUUCCUCUUUCUCUAGGUACUGCUGAUCUUUUCAGAUGGUCUCCAAGGUGAAAGCACCACAAUGCUUGAAAAUCAAUCAGACCGUCUGAGAAAAGCAGGUAUCACACUGAAUAUGUAAACAACAAAAUACGGAAUAUGAUGAACAAACCUCUAUUCUUUCCCAGGUGCUCUAGAUCUUAGGAUCCUUUGGUUACAACAGGGGAUGCUGUUGAUUAGAGAGCCCCUUGAUUAGUUCCCACAGAUGUCCCCC
rnacentral:lncRNA from 1 species